AGGUGCUACUUAUAGGAAAACGGGAAAGGUCGGCCCCUAAUGCCAGCGACUUGGAGCUCCGCUAAUAUCAAGGCACUUACUUACCCUAGUUGACUUGGACACUGUGAAAGAGAAUUGGAGAAAUGGACUGAGUUCCCCGGGAGAGGUCCAUCAGACAACUGCGGUGACAUACACAAAGCAAUUAGCGAAGGCCAGCUGAUGAAAGCUACACCUCCAGCAUAAGAAAUAAAACACUUAAGGACAUUGCCAAAUAGGAAUUGAUUUGAGAGGUGGAAAGUCUUUAGGAGUUUACUGCUGAAGUCACAUGGAGAUAAGAGGAAGACCUUCUAUGAAGGAGAACCACCAUACAGGCCGCACGCUGUGGCUGUAAUCCCAGCGGCUCAGAAGACUGAGACAGGAGGA